UUGGAGGGCAAGUCUGGUGCCAGCAGCCGCGGUAAUUCCAGCUCCAAUAGCGUAUAUUAAAGUUGUUGCAGUUAAAAAGCUCGUAGUUGAAUUUCGGGAUCAGAUUGUUGGUCGUGCCUCGGUACGUACUGGCAUUAUUGGUUCCUACCUUCUGAAGAACCGCGAUGUCAUUAAUUUGGUGUCGUGGGGAAUCAGGACUGUUACUUUGAAAAAAUUAGAGUGUUUAAAGCAGGCUAACGCCUGAAUACAUUAGCAUGGAAUAAUGAAAUAGGACGUUCGAUCCUAUUUUGUUGGUUUCUAGGAUUGACGUAAUGAUUGAUAGGGAUAGUUGGGGGCAUUAGUAUUCAAUUGUCAGAGGUGAAAUUCUUGGAUUUAUUGAAGACUAACUACUGCGAAAGCAUUUGCCAAGGAUGUUUUCAUUAAUCAAGAACGAAAGUUAGGGGAUCGAGGACGAUCAGAUACCGUCGUAGUCUUAACCAUAAACUAUGCCGACUAGGGAUCGGAUGAUGUUAAUUUUUUAAUGACUCAUUCGGCGCCUUACGGGAAAC
rnacentral:rRNA from 1 species